rnacentral:rRNA from 1 species
GGCUCUUUGUAAUAUAAAAAUAAAGAGUCCGGCCUGCUCAAUGAUGAUUUAUCAUUAAAUAGCUGCGGAAUCCUAACCGUGUGAAAGUAGCAUAAUCAUUUGCCUCUUAAUUGGUGGCUGGAAUGAAUGGUACGAUGAAAAUAGAGCUGUCUCUAAUAUGUUUUAUUGAAAUUACCUUUUAGGUGAAAAGGCCUAAAUAUAUCUAUAAGACAAGAAGACCCUAUCGAGCUUUAAGUAGACUAUAUAUAAUAUUUAGUUAGCUUUUGGUUGGGGCAACCAGGGGGCAGAUUAAAUCCCUCUUUUAUUAUGUCACUUACUAGUGAAGAUCCAGUUAUAUUGAUCAUGGGA